AUACGGAGGGGGCUAGCGUUGUUCGGAAUUACUGGGCGUAAAGCGCGUGUAGGCGGAUCGUUAAGUCAGGGGUGAAAGCCCGGAGCUCAACUCCGGAAUUGCCCUUGAUACUGGCGAUCUAGAGGCCGGGAGAGGUGAGCGGAAUUCCCAGUGUAGAGGUGAAAUUCGUAGAUAUUGGGAGGAACACCAGUGGCGAAGGCGGCUCACUGGCCCGGUUCUGACGCUGAGACGCGAAAGCGUGGGGAGCAAACAGGAUUAGAAACCCUAGUAGUCC
rnacentral:rRNA from 1 species